AUUCAGCUGACGAGUCCCGAAUAAGACGAAACACCCUUCCUGAAA
rfam:Schistosoma haematobium scaffold868_47, whole genome shotgun sequence.